UCCAAAGUGGUAAACGUCGGAGACCUGCAUCACUUCGGGCUUUCCUCCCACAAUAAGCUGACACACCGUGAUAUAACUGGAAUACUGUUAAAAGCGGCGUUAAACCCAACUCACUCAAUCACUCAUGUGACACAGAGGAAUGCACUACACUGGCAACAGUGGUUUGCUUGGCUUUGUCAGCAAUCAUUUCUGCAUUUGGAACGUUUGUCUUGGUUUACACUGAAAUACCCUGAAAUAACGAUGAUGGGUGUCAUUGUGGACAUCUUCCUAGGGCAAGGGAGUUAACUGACCAUAAAGUGCGCGCUGUGAAUAAAAGAAAUUCAAUGAAGUUUUGAUUUCAUAAACACCCUCGUCUUUGGGCAACUUUUGUAUCACUAAAACACUGCACAAAACAUUUGCAUAUUUUUCAGACUUAAAAUGAUUUUUUGUAAAUGCCUGCCUUGAUCUAUUUCUUUAAAAAUGUCUUUUCGGGGAAUCAGUGACUGAACCUCCAUUAUAAACCUAUUUUAUUCUAAAGGAAUCCCAGUGUAUGGGAGGUAAGUCUUUUCACUGGUAUUUUAUAGGGGGGAAUUGGUUGAUUCUGAAUAUGUUAUCAUGGUAAUGUGUAUGUUGACAAGGAAUAUCAUCUGAAUCUGUUACCAUGGUAAUGUGAAUGUUGACAAGGAAUAUCAGCUGAGCAAAAUUCCAUCACAUCAGGUGCACUAAAGGGGCACUUGUUCAGAGUAUUGCAUUAUGAUAUAGGGGGCGGUUGGGUUUCAUGUUUAUUUGGUGUUGGCUUGUCUCGCACACACCUAUGUCAGUGGAGUAAAUCCAUAUUGACCCAUAAUGUUAGAGAUGUGCCAAGUUUGAUGAAAUGUUGUGUCAUAAUGAGAGAAUGAAAGUCUGAGUAUUGAUUAGCAUUAUUGUCACAGUUUGCACUUCUAUAUUGUCAGUACUUACCAGGUCUGACCUGGGCCAUGUUUCACAAAGUGAUCUUAGUGCUACGAUCAUCGUAACUUGCAUACUUUCUCAAAUGGGUCCUUUGACCCACAUGCACAAAGAAAUUUUAGCUCUGAAGUAUGAGAGUUACGAUGAUCUCAGACCUACAACAGUAGCACUAUGUUAAAGAAUGGGAGUUACGAGGGUCUUAGUACUACUGUUGUAGGUCUAUGUUAAAGUAUGGGGGUUACGAAGGUCUUAGUACUACUGUUGUAGGUCUAUGUUAAAGUAUGGGGGUUACGAAGGUCUUAGUACUACUGUUGUAGGUCUAUGUUAAAGUAUGGGGGUUACGAAGGUCUUAGUGCUACUGUUGUAGGUCUAUGUUAAAGUAUGGGGGUUACGAAGGUCUAAGUGCUACUGUUGUAGGUCUAUGUUAAAGUAUGGGGGUUACGAAGGUCUUAGUACUACUGUUGUAGGUCUAUGUUAAAGUAUGGGGGUUACGAAGGUCUUAGUGCUACUGUUGUAGGUCUAUGUUAAAGUAUGGGGGUUACAAAGGUCUUAGUGCUACUGUUGUAGGUCUAUGUUUAAGUAUGGGGGUUACAAAGGUCUUAGUGCUACUGUUGUAGGUCUAUGUUAAAGUAUGGGGGUUACGAAGGUCUUAGUGCUACUGUUGUAGGUCUAUGUUAAAGUAUGGGGGUUACGAAGGUCUUAGUGCUACUGUUGUAGGUCUAUGUUAAAGUAUGGGGGUUACGAAGGUCUUAGUGCUAAGAUUGUUUUGUGCAUGUGGGCUCUGGUCUUGAUUGUCACACAGGGUGUCUGUAGGAGCUAUACUUGUGUGGUGUACUUGUGACAGUGUGUUGUGCUGCCCAAGGCUGUUGAUACAUGUGUAUAGGUGUAAAGUAUUCCAGAUCCUGUUUUAUUUUUUUGACGAUGUGUGUGAUGUGAUCAUUGUAUAAACUCAUCCUGGUACCAGCUACCUUCAUCACCUGGCCUUGACCCCAGGAAGCUCUUCAAUAAACUUGAAGGUCGA
rnacentral:lncRNA from 1 species